rnacentral:rRNA from 1 species
GACGAACGCUGGCGGCGUGCCUAAUACAUGCAAGUAGAACGCAGUUGCGAACGGGUGAGUAACGCGUAGGUAACUGCCUGGUAGCGGGGGAUAACUAUUGGAAACGAUAGCUAAUACCGCAUACUACCAGAUGGACCUGCGUUGUAUUAGCUAGUUGGUGAGGUAACGGCUCACCAAGGCAACGAUACAUAGCCGAGCUGACAGGGUGAGCGGCUACAUGGGGACUGAGACACGGCCCAGACUCCUACGGGAGGAAGCAGUAGGGAAUCUUCGGCAAUGGGGGGAAGCCUGACCGAGCAACGCCGCGGGAUUGAGGAAGGUUUUCGGAUCGUAAAGCUCUGGUGUUAAGGAAGCGGUACUUAACCAGAAAGGGACGGCUAACGACGUGCCAGGCGCCGCGGUAAUUC